GUCCUAGCUUCGGUAGCACAUAUACUAAAAUUGGCAUGAUACAGAGAAGAUUAGCAUCGCCCCUGCUCAAGGAUUACACACAAAUUCAUGAAGCCUACCAUAUUUUU
ensembl:snRNA U6 U6 spliceosomal RNA